AACGAACGCUGGCGGCAGGCUUAACACAUGCGAGUCGAGCGCAUCCUUCGGGGUGAGCGGCAGACGGGUGAGUAACGCGUGGGAAUCUACCUUUUGCUACGGAAUAGCUCCGGGAAACUGGAAUUAAUACCGUAUGUGCCCUUAGGGGGAAAGAUUUAUCGGCAAGAGAUGAGCCCGCGUUGGAUUAGCUAGUUGGUGGGGUAAAGGCCUACCAAGGCGACGAUCCAUAGCUGGUCUGAGAGGAUGAUCAGCCACAUUGGGACUGAGACACGGCCCAAACUCCUACGGGAGGCAGCAGUGGGGAAUAUUGGACAAUGGGCGCAAGCCUGAUCCAGCCAUGCCGCGUGAGUGAUGAAGGCCUUAGGGUUGUAAAGCUCUUUCACCGGAGAAGAUAAUGACGGUAUCCGGAGAAGAAGCCCCGGCUAACUUCGUG
rnacentral:rRNA from 1 species